AUUGACGCUGGCGGCAGGCCUAACACAUGCAAGUCUAACGAGUGGCGGACGGGUGAGUAAUGUCUGGGAAACUGCCUGAUGGAGGGGGAUCACUCCUGUAAACGGUAGCUAAUACCGCAUACCAUCUGCUGUGUCCAGCUGGGAUUAGCUAGUAGGUGGGGUAAAGGCUCACCUAGUCGACGAUCCCUAGCUGGUCUGAGAGGAUGACCAGCAAAACUGGAACUGAGACAAGGUCCAGACUCCAACGGGAGGCAGCAGUGGGGAAUAUUGCACAAUGGGCGCAAGCCUGAUGCAGCCAUGCCGCGUGUGUGAAGAAGGCCGUCGGGUUGUAAAGCACUUGCAGCGAGGAGGCGUUACUCGCAGAAGAAGCACCGGCUAACUCCGUGCCAGCAGCCGCGGUAAUAC
rnacentral:rRNA from 1 species